UGGAAUGUUGCCAUGCUUGGAACUGUAAAAAUACAGCUGUUAGGAGGUAGAGCUGGGAGAAAGGACGACUGGAGAGUUAAUCUUAUUCUACAAAAGGGAUUCUGUCUGUAACUGAUGAAACUAGGUAGAGGUUUAAGUAAAUGUGUAACCGAGCUGGAGGGAAGAAACCUAAUAGCUGUUCUGCGGGAAUGUCAUCAUUUAGUCAGUAGGGAGGUAGACAUCCAGAAGUCACAGCUUGCCUCUUGCCUCUUGCCUCUGCCCAGUAGCUUUUCAGUGGUAUCUUUUUAAGAGAGGGUCUCACUCUGUCACCCAGGCUGGAGUGCAGCUUUGACCUCCCGGGCUCAAGUGGUCCUCCCAUCUCAGCCUCCCAAGUACCUGGGAGCAUGGGCGUGCACUACCACACCCUGCUAAUUUUUUUUUGUAUUUUUUUUAUAGAGACUGGGGGGGUCUCACUGUGUUGCCCGGGCUGGUCUUGAAUUCCUAGGCCCAAGAAAUCUGCCAGCCUCAGCCCAGUCUCCAAAAUUGCUAGGAUUACAGCUACUGUUCCUCAAGCCAGGACCUACGCACCUGUUGUGAGUGGUGUUAUAGUUCUGCAGGGCGCACAGGUGCAUCCCCAUGGGCACAUUUAAUUUAGGGAAAUCCUCAUUGACGAUUCAAUUUGUUGAAGGCCAAUUUGUGGACUCCUACGAUCCAACCAUAGAAAACACUUUUACAAAGUUGAUCACAGUAAAUGGACAAGAAUAUCAUCUUCAACUUGUAGACACAGCCGGGCAAGAUGAAUAUUCUAUCUUUCCUCAGACAUACUCCAUAGAUAUUAAUGGCUAUAUUCUUGUGUAUUCUGUUACAUCAAUCAAAAGUUUUGAAGUGAUUAAAGUUAUCCAUGGCAAAUUGUUGGAUAUGGUGGGGAAAGUACAAAUACCUAUUAUGUUGGUUGGGAAUAAGAAAGACCUGC
rnacentral:lncRNA from 1 species